UGCCCUUCCUCUUUGACCACAUGGUUUUGGGUUCAGUCCCACUGUUUGGCCAAGUAUCUACCCACCAAAUAAACAACACCAUCUGUGAAUGGCUUCUGUG